AUUGAACGCUGGCGGCAUGCCUUACACAUGCAAGUCGAACGGCAGCACGGGAGCAAUCCUGGUGGCGAGUGGCGAACGGGUGAGUAAAGUAUCGGAACGUGCCCAGUCGUGGGGGAUAACGUAGCGAAAGUUACGCUAAUACCGCAUACGAUCUAUGGAUGAAAGCGGGGGAUCGCAAGACCUCGCGCGAUUGGAGCGGCCGAUAUCAGAUUAGGUAGUUGGUGGGGGAAAGGCGCACCAAGCCGACGAUAUGUAGCUGUGCUGAGAGGACGACCAGCCAAACUGGGACUGAGACACGGCCCAGACUCCUACGGAAGGCAGCAGUGGGGAAGUUUGGACAAUGGGCGAAAGCCUGAUCCAGCCAUGCCGCGUGCAGGAUGAAGGCCUUCGGGUUGUAAACUGCUUUUGUACGGAACGAAAAGGUUUGGCCUAAUAAGCUGAGCUCAUGACGGUACCGUAAGAAUAAGCACCGGCUAACUACGUGCCAGCCGCCGCAGUAA
rnacentral:rRNA from 1 species